GUGUUUCAAUUUGUUUAGUUUAUCUGAUUCUUUUUUUAAAAAAAUAUAAUUUUAAAAUAUCAUCUGAAAAGUACGAAGUAAAGAAAUAACAAAUUUAGGUGCCCUUUUAAGAAUGACUGGUUUUAAGUCCAAAGCCAUUUUUUCAGUACGAGUCAGAGUAACUGAACUGUGAAUCAAAUUGCUUCUUCCUUUAGUUUCAAUAGAAAUUCUAUCAUUCAUGAUGAAUAUAACGUAUAAUAAGAAAAGAAUUU
rnacentral:misc_RNA from 1 species